rnacentral:rRNA from 1 species
AAUCAACGCUGGCGGCGUGCCUCAGACAUGCAAGUCGAACGAUUAAAGCUCUCUUCGGAGAGUGUAUAGAGUGGCGCACGGGUGAGUAACACGUAAGUAAUCUACCUUCGAGUGGGGAAUAACGUCCGGAAACGGACGCUAAUACCGCAUAAUGCAGCGGCAUCGCAAGAUGACAGUUGUUAAAGAUUUAUCGCUUGAAGAGGAGCUUGCGGCAGAUUAGCUAGUUGGUAAGGUAAUGGCUUACCAAGGCUACGAUCUGUAACCGGUCUAAGAGGACGGUCGGUCACACUGACACUGAAUAACGGGUCAGACUCCUACGGGAGGCAGCAGUCGGGAAUUUUGGGCAAUGGGCGAAAGCCUGACCCAGCAACGCCGCGUGAAGGAUGAAGUAUUUCGGUAUGUAAACUUCGAAAGAAUAGGAAGAAUAAAUGACGGUACUAUUUAUAAGGUCCGGCUAACUACGUGCCAGCCGCCGCGGUAAGAC